GACGAACGCUGGCGGCGUGCUUAACACAUGCAAGUCGAACGGAAAGGCCCUGCUUUUGUGGGGUGCUCGAGUGGCGAACGGGUGAGUAACACGUGAGUAACCUGCCCUUGACUUUGGGAUAACUUCAGGAAACUGGGGCUAAUACCGGAUAGGAGCUCCUGCUGCAUGGUGGGGGUUGGAAAGUUUCGGCGGUUGGGGAUGGUCUCGCGGCUUAUCAGCUUGUUGGUGGGGUAGUGGCUUACCAAGGCUUUGACGGGUAGCCGGCCUGAGAGGGUGACCGGCCACCUUGGGCCUGAGAUACGGCCCAGACUCCUACGGGAGGCAGCAGUGGGGAAUAUUGCACAAUGGGCGGAAGCCUGAUGCAGCAACGCCGCGUGCGGGAUGACGGCCUUCGGGUUGUAAACCGCUUUCGCCUGUGACGAAGCGUGAGUGACGGUAAUGGGUAAAGAAGCACCGGCUAACUACGUG
rnacentral:rRNA from 1 species